AGGAUAAACGCUGGCGGCGUGCAUGAGACAUGCAAGUCGAACGGACACGUAGGGCUUGCUCUGCGUGUUAGUGGCGGACGGCUGAGUAACGCGUAGGUGACCUGCCCCGAAGUGGGAAUAACUGCCCGAAAGGGUGGCUAAUACCGCAUGUGGUGGUGUGUUCAUUCACACCAGUAAAGCCGCAAGGCGCUUCGGGAGGGGCCUGCGUCCGAUUAGCUCGUUGGUGGGUAACGGCUCACCAAGGCGACGAUCGGUA
rnacentral:rRNA from 1 species